CCUACGGGAGGCAGCAGUCGAGAAUAGUCUACAAUGGACGAAAGUCUGAUAGUGCGACGCCGCGUGAACGAAGACUCCCUAACAGGGUGUAAAGUUCUUUUAUAUGUGAGCAAUGGUUUGUACAUUAAUAGUGUGCGAGCAGAGAUAUUAGCAUAUGAAUAAGCAACGGCUAACUCCGUGCCAGCAGCCGCGGUAACACGGGGGUUGCAAGCGUUGUCCGGAAUUACUAGGCGUAAAGGGCAGGUAGGCGGAUCAGUAAGUUUGAUGUUAAAUCCAUCGGCUCACCCGAUGACAGGCAUCAGAUACUGCUGAUCUGGAAUACGGUUGAGGAAGACAGAAUUCCUGGUGUAGCGGUGGAAUGCGCAGAGAUCAGGAGGAAUACCGAAUGCGAAGGCAGUCUUCUGGGCCGUUAUUGGCGCUAAACUGCGAAGGUGUGGGGAUCAAACAGGAUUAGAUACCCUGGUAGUCCACACAGUAAACGAUAAUCACUAGGUGUUGGGUUCGCAGCGAACUCGGUGCCGUAGCUAACGCGUUAAGUGAUUCGCCUGGGGAGUACGAUCGCAAGGUUGAAACUCAAAUGAAUUGACGG
rnacentral:rRNA from 1 species